rnacentral:misc_RNA from 1 species
GCACACUGACAGAAAUUACUCAAAAUUUGAAAUAUUAGCGCUGGAAAAAACAAAUGAAAAGAACUUGCCGUGAUGUCUGUCACCGCGACAGAUAAACAAGUUUCGACCGCCGUAUUUUCAAAAGGGAUGGAAUUUCAUUCGAAACAUCGAAAAUUAUUCAAAACUAAAAAUUCUGUUCGUACUCCUGCAGCCUCAAAGCCACGAUUAAGCAAGAAGAAGGUAGUUCUACGGAAGCGGAAAUGCGUGUGUUUGCCAGAAAAUUAUUCAGUAGUCGAGUUCCCAGCAAUUUGGAAUGAGCUGCGCCAGAAUGGGCAGCUGUGCGACGGCACCAUCAUGUGCCGUGACAUGAAAUCAAUACGCGUGCACCGAGCCAUUCUGUCAGCCGUUAGUCCAUACUUCAAAGCGUUAUUUAUAAAUUCCCUGAAGAAGGGAGAGCAAGAAGAAACGGAAAUUUUCGUAGACGUUCCUAGCAUUUACAUGUCUCUGAUACUAGAUUACGCUUACACAGGGACUUGUGCAGUAACCGUAGAAAAUGUGGAGCACUUACUCCCAUAUGCGGACCAAUUUGACGUCGUAGGCGUCAUUCAGCUAUGUUGCCAGUUUCUAAUGCAAGAGUUGAGACCUCACAAUUGCCUAGGGAUAUUCAAAUUCGCUAAGUAUUAUUUCUGCGGUGAAUUAGAGAAGAAAGGAAAGUUGUACAUAAGGCAGAACUUUAAUAGAGUACUUAAGGAGUGUAAUGAAUUUAAGUCGCUUUCGUUCGAGGAAUUAGAGGAUAUAUUGAGAGAUGACGAGUUGAACGUUCGAAACGAGGAGAUCGUGUUCCAAGCGGUGAAGACUUGGGUGGAGCACGAUUUGGAGAAUAGACGAAAGCAUAUUCCGUCUUUACUGUCUUGUAUUAGAUUUGGUCAUAUAAGCUACAAUUACUUUAAAUCGAAAAUAUUGCAAUGGCAGCCUGUUAUUGAUGAUGACAAAUGUCAAGAGUCGCUGUACCCAGCGGUGGUGUUUCUCACCGUGUUGGACUCCCGACCGGGAACAGAAGCAGACCUAAACGACCCCUUGGCGAGACCUCGCAUCCCGUAUGAGGUCCUGUUUGCUGUGGGUGGUUGGAGCGCCGGAAGUCCUACGAGUUUUGUCGAAACUUACGACACGAGGGCCGACCGCUGGUUCCUCUCAAUCCACAUGGACCUGACACCCCGCGCGUACCAUGGGCUCUGCACUCUCAACAACCUGAUCUACAUGAUUGGUGGCUUCGAUGGCAGCGACCACUUUAACACUGUCCGGUGUUACGAUCCAGUUGCCAAUACUUGGCAUGAGCGGGCCUGCAUGUAUCAGGCGAGGUGUUACGUCAGCGUUGUGGCGCACGAUGGCUUAAUCUACGCCCUGGGAGGCUACAACGGGCGUACGCGCAUGGCGUCGGUAGAGCGCUACUACCCCGACAAGAACCAGUGGGAGAUGACCACGCCCAUGAACAAGCAGCGGUCGGACGCCAGCGCCGCCUCUCUGGGCGGUAAGAUCUACAUAGUAGGCGGUUUCAACGGGCAAGAAGUCCUCAGCUCAGCCGAGAUGUUUGACCCGGACACCCGACAGUGGACCCUCAUUCGCCCCAUGCUGAGUCCCCGCUCCGGCGUCAGUCUCAUCGCGUACCGGGACUGUCUGUAUGCCCUGGGAGGGUUUAAUGGCUACAGCAGACUGAAUACAGUGGAACGCCUGAACCCACAUCCUGGGAAGUGACUGGCUCUCAGAUUGGCAGGAGGUGACGGAGAUGUUCAGCGCCAGAAGCAACUUCGCGACAGUUUUGCUGGACGAUAUGAUCUUCGUUAUCGGCGGAUUUAAUGGUUCGACCACGAUUCCCCACGUCGAGUGCUACGAUGGCGACACCCACGAGUGGUACGAUGCGGCUCCCAUGAACCUAAACCGAUCAGCUCUGAGCGCCUGCGUGAUAGCCGGCCUGCCUAACGCCCGAUCUUUCUCUUAC